rnacentral:lncRNA from 1 species
AAAGAUCCGGCGGCGCUUCUUAUUGACUGGGGUUGUUUUACAACGGUAAAGAUCUUGACAUCAAUCAAUCAUUUUGCUUAAAUGUAACACAUUUUGCUUUUAAUUUCAAUAUAAAAAAUAGGAUUUUUAUCCAUUAAUUUUGAGAUCGCUAUAUUUCUGCUUGAAUCUGUUUCACAUUGCAAAAAUGACCUUUUUGUAUGAACAAUCCGUAUAUAUAUUUAUGUCUUUGAUCUCUCAUUUCUCCUGCAGAAGGUUGUCGGAAUCUGAUGGAGAAUAGCUUAGAUCAACCCGUUCCGAAUGAAGCAAUGUUCGAAACCAUCGAGCAGAGGCUUUAGGAACCCUAGUGAGGUUGUUCUUGUAGUCCACAUAGUAUAUCCCGAACCGGACAGUGUAACCAGAGUUCCACUCCCAGUUGUCUAGCAAUGACCACACGAAGUACCCUCUUACAUCACAACCAUCCUUCCUGCAAUACCCCAACCCAAACAGUUUAUAAAUUCCUUUAUUUUCUCAGGUUUGUAAAGUUUUAUUAUUACCUAAUGCCAGCUGAUAAGUUGGAGAGGUAAUCUCUGUGGAAGCUAAUCCUCUUGUCGUCUUGUAAUGCUUUCUCCAUGUCUAUGAAUGGGUUGUUCUUCUCAUCCAUACCGUUUUCUGUGAUGAAGACAGGAGGGUUUCCGUAGACGUCUUUGAGAUACACUGCUAGUUUCCUGAUUCCCCAUGGGACUAUGUGUAGCCAGCUUGAUCCUGCCUAAUGUCAUUGUCAAGUAAAUGUUUCUCUUCAUCAGAACUAUUGCUUAGUAUGGAAGGAGUAGUGAACAGAGAAAUCACAUACUUUUUCUCCUAUAGGCACUCCUCCUCGAAAUGCUACAACAGUUAACAAAAGAGUAGAAACAUCAGUUUACUACUUUUGUUUUCUAGCAGUAAUGAGAUAUGAUAUGAGAGCUAGUCUCUGUGUGUGUGUGGAUCUUACAGCUAGUGAUCACUGCUGCAUCAGAAGAAGCAUCUUGUAGAAUCAGUUUCCUUAUCCUUGUUCUGUCGUUCCUUGUGUACAGUGUCGUGUAGUGGUUGAUUCCAAAGAAGUCAAAUGCCCCUUUUAUGGUUUUGGACAUCUCUGCUGUUAUCUCUGGUAGUCUCUCUUCCACUAGUCUCUUCAUUGAAGCUGGAUAGUCUCCGUUUAUUAGAGGAUCCAUAAACCUAUUUUUACAUCUCAUUCUGUCACACUUCUGUUUACUUACUUUCUCUUAUGCAAAUUUUCAUAUACAAAAACGAUCUUUAUUAUUUUACCAUCCGAUCCCAAAAUCCAUUGCUCUACGAGCUGCAUCUCUGUCCUCAUCACAAUCAGACAUUGGCUCAAACCAUUUUGCAUCUAACGACAUCCCUAUUCGACCACCUUGUUUCUUCUGCAUUUUUACAUUAUUCCCACUUUAUAUUAUGUGGACCUAACAUGUUCAUUUUUUUUAUAUCUGUGGUCUUACCUUGAAGUGUCUCUGGUAGGUGUGGUAAGCAGCAGCAUGAGACAAGAGAAUGUUAUGAGCUACAACAUACGGUUCGACAGAUGACUUCCCUUCCUUACAGAACCAAUGUCCCAGAAGUGAGCACCUCCCUGGAGCCUGUAUCCCUGUGUCAUAGCCUUGGAUCGUUAGCCCGCGUGGCUCAUUGAAAGUGAUCCAGUACUUCACUCUAUCUCCGAACGCUUUGAAACAAGUGAAUGCAUAACGCUCAAAAUCAUCCCUGCACACUUUUCUUAGCAUUUCAUUUUGUCUUCAUGAUCACAUUUUCAGCCAAAGAUGAUAUACUUACACGACUUGUCUGCUCAGCCAUCCUUCAUAUCUGUCUUCUAAAGCUUGUGGGAGAUCCCAGUGAUACAAUGUCACAUAAGGUUUGAUUCCUUUGGCUAAAAGCGUGUCUAUGAGAGUGUUGUAGUACUUAAGUCCAUCUGGGUUUACUUCCCCUGUUCCAUCUGUUCAAACGUUUGAAACUCAGUGAUACACUACUCUUAGGCUUAGCACAGCUUAAUGAAUUAGACUUACUAGGGAAUAUUCUAGUCCAAGAUAUAGAGAAUCUGUAAGCAUCCAUUCCCAGAUCUUUCAUAAGAUCUAUAUCACUCUGUGAAAGCAAAAAAAAAUCAGAAAAAGUGUUCUUGCUUGUUAGAUUCUCUCAUUUAUUUAUCCUGUUGCGUCUUAUCUCAGAUUUGUUUGGACGUGGUUGCUCUAUGGAGAAGCAACCUUACUUUUUUUUUAUCUUCAAGUAUAAGUCAACUUAUGCUUCUAUUUUAGGAAAAACAUACAUACAUGGAAUCUAUGAUAUUGAUCAACCGUAGUAUCCGCAUUGCUGAAAUCCAAUAUCUUUCCUGUUGAUCAAUAACAAAUAAACAUUAAAAUUGGACUUUUCUGGGUUCUCUGUAACUUUUUGUUUGAUACCUGGUUUCUUGGUGAAAGUGUCCCAUAUGCUAUCUCCUUUGUUUCCUUCAUUCACAGCUCCUUCAAACUGGUUUAUUGCAAGUAAGUGUUUGUGGUUUGAUCAAAAUAUUGAUCAUUUGAAUCUUUCUUAAAUCAGUUUGUUGAAGAAGGAGAAGAAUGUCACCUGGUAAGCUGAAGAAGCUGUCCCGAACACAAACCCAUCUGGAAAACUCUCUCUGGUAAUAGAUUCCGAUGAAACUUGCUGACGAGACGCGAUGAAGACCAGAUACAGAACCAGGACGAGU